rnacentral:lncRNA from 10 species
UGGGAGCUCCACCCCAGUUCUGUCCUUGGCUGAGUCAUCUUGGUGUCCCCAGGCCUGGCUCAGGGCCUGGCAUGGAGGAGGAGCUGGGUAAAUGUUUGUGGUGUUAAAUUGGACCAGUCUCCAGCUCCUCACUGCCUCCACAUCUGAGGAGCCCCAGGGAAGGGGCCGGCAAAGAGAGAUGAAAGAAGGGAUCGCUGAGUUUGCAGUUUGAGUUUCUGGUUCCUGGGCCAGCCAGUGGGCAAGGAAGGCUGUUAGACUCAGG